rnacentral:rRNA from 1 species
UACGUAGGGGGCUAGCGUUGUCCGGAAUCAUUGGGCGUAAAGCGCGCGUAGGCGGCCAGAUAAGUCCGGUGUGAAAGUCACAGGCUCAACCUGUGAAUGCCGCUGGAAACUGUCUGGCUAGAGUCCGGAAGGGGCGAGUGGAAUUCCUGGUGUAGCGGUGAAAUGCGCAGAUAUCAGGAGGAACACCAGCGGCGAAGGCGCUGCUCUGGGCCGUAACUGACACUGAGGCGCGAAAGCCAGGGGAGCAAACGGG